UACGGGGGGGGCAAGCGUUGUUCGGAAUUACUGGGCGUAAAGCGCACGUAGGCGGACAUUUAAGUCAGGGGUGAAAUCCCGGGGCUCAACCCCGGAACUGCCUUUGAUACUGGGUGUCUUGAGUCCGGAAGAGGUGAGUGGAAUUGCGAGUGUAGAGGUGAAAUUCGUAGAUAUUCGCAGGAACACCAGUGGCGAAGGCGGCUCACUGGUCCGGUACUGACGCUGAGGUGCGAAAGCGUGGGGAGCAAACAGG
rnacentral:rRNA from 1 species